rnacentral:rRNA from 1 species
AUACGUAGGGUGCGAGCGUUAAUCGGAAUUACUGGGCGUAAAGCGUGCGCAGGCGGUUUUGUAAGACAGUGGUGAAAUCCCCGGGCUCAACCUGGGAACUGCCAUUGUGACUGCAAGGCUGGAGGGCGGCAGAGGGGGAUGGAAUUCCGCGUGUAGCAGUGAAAUGCGUAGAUAUGCGGAGGAACACCGAUGGCGAAGGCAAUCCCCUGGGCCUGUACUGACGCUCAUGCACGAAAGCGUGGGGAGCAAACAGGAUUAGAUACCCUGGUAGUCCGCGCCCUAAACGAUGUCAACUGGUUGUUGGGUCUUCAUUGACUCAGUAACGAAGCUAACGCGUGAAGUUGACCGCCUGGGGAGUACGGCCGCAAGGUUGAAACUCAAAUGAAUUGACGGGG